rnacentral:rRNA from 1 species
GACGAACCGUGCAAACGUUAUUCGGAAUCACUGGGCUUAAAGGGCGCGUAGGCGGACAAGCAAGUCAAGGGUGAAAUCUUUCAGCUUAACUGGAAACGUGCCUUUGAUACUGCUUGUCUCGAGGGAGGCAGGGGCAUGCGGAACUUCCGGUGGAGCGGUGAAAUGCGUAGAUAUCGGAAGGAACGCCGGUGGCGAAAGCGGCGUGCUGGACCUCUUCUGACGCUGAGGCGCGGAAAGCGUGGGGAG